rnacentral:rRNA from 1 species
AACGAACGCUGGCGGCAUGCCUAACACAUGCAAGUCGAACGAGACCUUCGGGUCUAGUGGCGCACGGGUGCGUAACGCGUGGGAACCUGCCCUUAGGUUCGGAAUAACUCCCCGAAAGGGGUGCUAAUACCGGAUAAUGUCUUCGGACCAAAGAUUUAUCGCCUUUGGAUGGGCCCGCGUUGGAUUAGCUAGUUGGUAGGGUAAAAGCCUACCAAGGCGACGAUCCAUAGCUGGUCUGAGAGGAUGAUCAGCCACACUGGGACUGAGACACGGCCCAGACACGUAGGGGAGGAGGCGGUGGGGAAGAGGGACGGAUGGGGAACGUCCUGAGCAACCAAGGCUGGGGGAGUGAGGAAGGCCUGUGGUUGGAAAAGCGCUGUAACGCGGGAAGACAAGGACAGUGCGGGGAACACAAGCUCCUGCUAACGCGGUGACAGCGGCCGGGCUAAUACGCGGAGGACCAGACGCCCGAAU